rnacentral:rRNA from 1 species
AAGCGCAAAAGGGGAAUCCGACUGUUUAAUUAAAACAAAGCAUUGUGAUGGCAUUUGCAUGUGCUGAUGCAUUGUGAUUUCUGCCCAGUGCUCUAAAUGUCAAAGUGAUGAAAUUCAAACAAGCGCGGGUAAACGGCGGGAGUAACUAUGACUCUCUUAAGGUAGCCAAAUGCCUCGUCAUCUAAUUAGUGACGCGCAUGAAUGGAUUAACGAGAUUCCCACUGUCCUUACUUUCAAUUUAGCGAAACCACAGCCAAGGGAACGGGCUUGGGUUAAUCAGCGGGGAAAGAAGACCCUGUUGAGCUUGACUCUAGUCUGAUAUUGUGAAAUGACUCAGGAGGUGUAGAAUAAGUGGGAGUAUCCUUGCAAUCAUGAAAUACCACUACUCUUGAUGUUAUUUUACUUAUUCUGUGAAGCUUGUCCUUGCACUUGCCUGUUGUUGUUUAUAAGCCAUUAUGUAUUGGUGUACUUGUGUGGAAUACUGCGUCAGGUUGGGAGUUUGGCUGGGGCGGCACAUCUGUUAAAUGAUAACGCAGGUGUCCUAAGGUGAGCUCAAUAAGAACAGAAAUCUUAUGUARACUAAAARGGGAAAAGCUUGCUUGAUUUUCMUUUUCAGUGCAAAUACAAACUGUGAAAGCAUGGCCUAUCGAUCCUUUAGAUAUGAAAACUGUUCAGCUAGAGGUGUCAGAAAAGUUACCACAGGGAUAACUG